UACGUAGGGUGCAAGCGUUGUCCGGAAUUAUUGGGCGUAAAGAGCUCGUAGGCGGUCUGUCGCGUCGGCUGUGAAAACCCGUGGCUCAACCCCGGGCCUGCAGUCGAUACGGGCAGACUAGAGUGCGGUAGGGGAGACUGGAAUUCCUGGUGUAGCGGUGAAAUGCGCAGAUAUCAGGAGGAACACCAAUAGCGAAGGCAGCUCGCUGGGACGUUACUGACACUGAGGCGCGAAAGCGUGGGGAGCGAACAGG
rnacentral:rRNA from 1 species